rnacentral:rRNA from 1 species
GACGAACGCUGGCGGCGUGCCUGACACAUGCAAGUCGAACGGGCGAGUUCGGGCUCAAGCCUUAGAGAGGGCGGAAGAUGAGAAAUCGUUGGAGGCUUUUGAAGGGGUAGCGGUCUUAAUGCUUGUCAGUGGCGGACGGGUGAGUAACACGUGGAUAAUCUACCCUACAGUGGGGAACAACUGUUCGAAAGGGCAGCUAAUUCCGCAUGGGGUCUAGCGGUCGAACGCUGGAUCAAAGGCGCGAGUCGCUCUGGGAGGGGCCUGCGGCCGAUUAGCUAGUUGGUGGGGUAAGAGCCUACCGAAGGCGAAGAUCGGUAGCUGGUCUGAGAGGAUGAUCAGCCACAUUGGCACUGAGACACGGGCCAAACUCCUACGGGAGGCAGCAGUAAGGAAUAUUGCACAAUGGGGAAACCCUGAUGCAGCAACGCCGCGUGGGCGAUGAAGGUCUUCGGAUCGUAAAGCCCUUUUCUGCGGGAAGAGGCAGGACGGUACCGCAGGAAU